GGGACAGGGGAUCCCUGUGACUGCUCUCACCCCAUUUCCCUCCCUGUUUUUCCCCAAUUUCUCCUGUUUUUGCCCCGUUGCAGGCGCACAAAGCGGCGCUGUGACUGCUCCAAUCCUGUUUUUUCCCAAUUUCACCGNNNNNNNNNNUUUCACCGUUUUUCUCCCGUUUUUGCCCCGUUGCAGGCGCACGAAGCGGCGCUGCGUGCGGGUGAUCAGCACGCCGCGGCGCCCGGUGCCGCUGGAGCAUUUCCUGUUCACCGGGAACAGCUCCCGCACCCGGCACCAGCUGUUCCAGCUGCUGGGCCCGGGCGGGGCCUUCAGCACGCAGGGGUACUACGCGGCCGUGGAGGCCAAGAAGGAGCAGAGCAGCAAACACGCGCAAAGCUUCGGGGCGCGGCAGCCCACCAUGGGCGGCCCCAACCCCGGGCAGGAGCGGGGGGUGUGGCUGUCCCUGCUGGAGACCCUCCGGGAGCGGGAGCUGCUGCCCGCCGUCGCCUUCACCUUCUCGCGGGGCCGCUGCGAGGAGCAGGCGGCGGCGCUGGGCUCGCUGCAGCUGCUCGGCGCCCCCGAGCGCGCCCAGGUGCGGCACUUCCUGACGCGCUGCCUGGCCCGCCUGCGCGGCUCCGACCGCCGCCUGCCCCAGGUGCUGCAGCUCUCGGAGCUGCUGCAGCGCGGCAUCGGCGUCCACCACGGCGGGGUGCUGCCCCUGCUCAAGGAGAUCGUGGAGAUGCUCUUCAGCCAAGGGCUGGUCAAGGUGUGUGGGGACAGGGGCUGCAGCCGCCUGU
rnacentral:lncRNA from 1 species